rnacentral:rRNA from 1 species
UACGUAGGGUGCAAGCGUUGUCCGGAAUUAUUGGGCGUAAAGAGCUCGUAGGCGGCUUGUCACGUCGACUGUGAAAACCCGAGGCUUAACCUCGGGCCUGCAUUCGAUACGGGCUGACUAGAGUUCGGUAGGGGAGACUGGAAUUCCUGGUGUAGCGGUGAAAUGCGCAGAUAUCAGGAGGAACACCGGUGGCGAAGGCGGGUCUCUGGGCCGAUACUGACGCUGAGGAGCGAAAGCGUGGGGAGCGAACAGG